rnacentral:misc_RNA from 1 species
GUGACCUGCGGAGGAUCAUUAUUGAAAAUAAACCUGAUGAGUUGAUGCUGGCUCCCUAGGGAGCAUGUGCACGCUUGUCAUCUUUAUAUUCUCCACCUGUGAACCUUUUGUAGACCUGGAUUAUCUUUCUGAAUGCUCUGGCAUUUCAGGUUCGAGGAUUGAUUUUUCUUUCCUUACAUUUUCAGGUCUAUGUUUCUUCAUAUACCCCCAUGCAUGUUUAUAGAAUGUAAUAAGCAGGCCUUUGUGCCNAUAAACUUAUACAACUUUCAGCAACGGAUCUCUUGGCUCUCGCAUCGAUGAAGAACGCAGCGAAAUGCGAUAAGUAAUGUGAAUUGCAGAAUUCAGUGAAUCAUCGAAUCUUUGAACGCACCUUGCGCUCCUUGGUAUUCCGAGGAGCAUGCCUGUUUGAGUGUCAUUAAUAUAUCAACCUCUUCUGCUUUUUUUGGC